rnacentral:lncRNA from 1 species
UGCUUUUCCCAAGACUGGAAUGUUCCCCUUGUCAAUAACAGAUGGGACCUGUAGAUUCCUUACAUCAAGUCAGGCAAUUGUGAAAGGCAGGAAGAGGAGCCCCAAACACCCAACUGCAAUUAGCUGUAAUGAAGCUACUGGUGCUUGUCCAGGUCACAGUUUCAGAAGUGUUGGUCUAGCAUGCCUGACUGCUUGCCAGAACAUGCAAAGCCCUCACAAAGUGGAUUCCAUGUUAGUCUGCCAGGAAUGGCUGCACCAGUUUCUGUAGAUCAGAGGUCUUGUGAAAGUCUUGUGAAAUAACAUCCGGAAUACUGAAGUCCUGAAAAUGAUGAAGAUCCAGGGGUCCACGAUGGAAAUCACAGACAGAAAACGCAAGGCUUGGAGGUCUUCCGAGUCUCCGUCAGCUCUGUCCACAAGUUUAAAGGCUCCAUAGUAAGCACGAUACUGUUGGAGAGGAAAAAAAAAUCAUCCCACAAAUAAAGAUAAAGGCUUUCAGAAGGAAGG